UGCGGGAAGGUCUGGGACAAGGGCCAGGCGCAGCACAUGCUCGGCAAGGCGCGCUCCCUGG
rnacentral:ribozyme from 14 species